rnacentral:rRNA from 1 species
UACGUAGGGUGCAAGCGUUGUCCGGAAUUAUUGGGCGUAAAGAGCUCGUAGGCGGUUUGUUGCGUCGGCUGUGAAAUCCCGAGGCUCAACCUCGGGUCUGCAGUCGAUACGAGCAAACUAGAGUGUUGCAGGGGAGACUGGAAUUCUUGGUGUAGCGGUGAAAUGCGCAGAUAUCAGGAGGAACACCGGUGGCGAAGGCGGGUCUCUGGGCAGUUGCUGACACUGAGGCGCGACAGCGUGGGGGAGCAAACAGG